GUGGAGUGAAAAUGGGUUUUCAGUGACAAUAUGCCCACUCCAUCUCAAUAACCUCGCUCUGCAGAAUGAAAUCAAGUUAAUGUACUGUUCUUCCACAAAACCAAAAUGCUUUAGUGAAUCUACUAAGAAACCAGCAAGCAGGGCACAGAGCGCCUCCUAUAGACCAGUCAGGGCGUUUCAUCAGAAGAGGAUACCCUUGUUCACUCUACAUGCAGGCCUUCUCCCUUGCACUGGCAAAUGCGCUGAAAGCCUGCUGUGCAUGCACAUAUCUCCUGGAAAAUGCUGCCUGUGUAAUUUUCCUGGUGAAUUCUUCACUACAUUUGGCGCUGACCAUAAGGGUAUUAUUUUGGAAGACUGGGUACCAGAAGGUGCAACAGUGAAUCAACAUUACUACAAAAUGUUCCAGCAACGUUGCGGAAAGAAUCAGAAGAAAGAGCCAGAGUUUUGGAAGAACUGUUUCAUCCUUCAUCAGGUCAGAUCUAUACUCAAGGGAACCCAUUCUGACAAGAUAUUGAGCUACAACACGGCUUUGACCAAUGGAAAAUAAGAAUGCAGCAGUGUGUGGAUGCAGAAAAGGAGUACAUAGAAGGGGAACAGAAUCAAAACAGAGUUUAUAGAAUUAAACAUAAAUUAUACCAUU